rnacentral:lncRNA from 1 species
GUUUGAAUAUUACCUGCUUGAAGAUUUUUCAGAUUGUGUUUUUUCUUUUUGUCUUUAUCAUUUCUUGUUACCUUUAUUUUCAUUUUUCCCCUAUGGGUUCCUGAGUUACUUUUUAAUGUUAGCAGACAUGUGCGUCCUUGCUAAUUGGCUUCAAAGACUUGCGUUAUAAUAUGAGAGUUAAAUUUUUGAGAAGGAAAAUUAGUGUUUUAUAUGAAAUUUGAAUUGUUACCGUGGGAAAGCAAUAUAUAAUUUUGUAUCUGAGGCUAUCCUUUUUUAAAUUGUCAUCAUGAGAAGAUAUUAUAUAAUUGAGACCCUUGCUUUGUAUAUUCUUUGAUUGGAUAUGGAGGCUUUUUAAGCCUUCUGAGUUAGGAAUGUAAGCAUUAGGUCGUGCAGAUUCUGCAUUUGCUCAGUCAUCUGAGAUGGAGCCAAGGGGCAGUUGAUAGACACUUGGCCUUUGAGUUAGCUGGUACUUCUCCACCUCCACAAGUUGGAGGUUGGAGGUUCAAUUAGUGCCCAUGGAAAUGGAAAUUGUGUCUCUAUUAUUGGGCUUGCAACAAAAGCGGCGGGGGGAGGGUAUCUACUUGGAGGUUCAAGUAGAUGCCCAAUAGCUAUCCAGUUAUACAUUAUUUUGUGUUAGUAUUUCAAGACAUCGUUCUUGUGGUUUCAGCUCAGAUGUUUGUAUCCUUGGAUUGAAAACUUGCUACCUGAAAUCACAUUAUUUGGUAUCAGCUGCCUAGUCAUCUAUUGGAAGUUAUUUUUCUUUGAAAGGAAAAUUAUUGAAGUUCUUUUUCUGGAUAAGGAAAGAAUUAUCAUUGUAAACAAGGACCUAGAAGAAGUGCUGGUGGAGGUUGGUACUGAUAUCUACUAAAGUCCUUUUGGUGCCCUAUAUUUAAUAGGCAUUGUUACUUUUCAACUGAGACUUUCAGUAAGAGUUUUAUCGCUAUUUUACGUUCAGUAAAUUCAAGUUAGAUAUGAGGAUAUUGUGUUUUCAGGAUGAUGGCUCUGUUGCAGUUUGUACAGAUCGUAUUCUGGAGUCAACUUUUAGGCAUUAUAGUCUAGGUUGAUUAUCCUAUAUAGUUUGGGCCAGUACUUGUUGCUAGAAUUAUUCUUCUGUCUUUAUUAGAAGAACUUUGUUUUUGUUUUAACCAUCAGUAGCAGUGUGCUAGUUUUGCCUUUUCCCCUCGAAAUAACAUAGCACAGCCCAGGGUGACUAGUUUAGGUUUAGAACGGAUACUAGCUUGCAACCGAAUAGUUCUGCAGUGGCAGUGGGGGAUAGUCUCAAAUGUGUGGUGGAAAUCAGGAAAUCUUUACCUCCCUAAGAUUUUNNNNNNNNNNNNNNNNNNNNNNNNNNNNNNNNNNNNNNNNNNNNNNNNNNNNNNNNNNNNNNNNNNNNNNNNNNNNNNNNNNNNNNNNNNNNNNNNNNNNNNNNNNNNNNNNNNNNNNNNNNNNNNNNNNNNNNNNNNNNNNNNNNNNNNNNNNNNNNNNNNNNNNNNNNNNNNNNNNNNNNNNNNNNNNNNNNNNNNNNNNNNNNNNNNNNNNNNNNNNNNNNNNNNNNGUUCGUGCAUCGUAAUGUUAUCUCUUGGAUGUAAUUUAUUUCCCGUUAAUUUGAAUAAUAUGUUAUCUGCCAAUGGCCUUGUUUAUGCAGAUAGUAAACUGAAAGGGAGCCUAUAAAGAUUUCUGGAUUAAUAAAGAUUUAAAGAGAAAAGACAUCAUAAAGUGAUGGACAGCAUGCUUAUCUUUGUGCAAAGCCACAAAAAGUAUUAUCCAAAAUAUCACUUUCGCCAGCUGUUAUCCACGCAUGGCUGGGCUGUUCUUUGAUUUUUGGUUUGUGAGGCUUGCUGCCAUUGAAUGAAAUGACUAGCUAAACUUGGUGUGAAAGCUCAUGGGUAUCUCAUCUUUUUCUUCAUCUGUAACCUGUGAAGUAAUUGUUUGAUUAAGAAAAAUUGUAAACUUGAUAUCUUGUUUUCUAUAUACCAUCCAGUUAGGAAAGAAUAUAAAGCCUAUAGUUGGUCAAACAAAGAAUCAUCUUCAAAGAAUGGAAGCCAUUCAAAGUUUUUACUGGUAGAGAAUUUGUUCAAGGAAAAGAUAAUUUGAGGUUUAGAAAGUUGGGGCAAAGAGAGCUUUGGAGUUGUCCGGUGCAGAUCAACCUGUACAACAUUAUAGAGCAUAAAUCUCUCCGUAUAUGGAUCCAAGUAUCAUAUUUUUGUUCAGAAACCUGAAAAGAGGUGCAGGUAAAGGUCAUAUUUUGGUUAACUAGAUUUGAAAGAGGAUGUAAGUAGAAGAUUUGUCAUCCCUACUCAUUUCUGUUUCAAAUUUGUGAUUGAUCUAGUGCAAAAAUGGCUUUAUUUUGAGGUUUCUGAGAGGUAAUAAAUUGGUACUUUCUUUAUGUUGUGUUGAAUACUGACUUAAUUUGUACUCAAUGGUCGAUGCAUGUACUUUUUUUCUUUUGCUUAUUGAUGGAUCUACUUUUCAUUUAUAAAUCAAUUUUGGAUUCUUUGAUGUUAAUUGAAUAUCUUUUUCUUUGGAGUGAAUCUCUUGUAUAUGGUUUUUCUUGUUGCUGUGACAGGGAUCCAGUGCCAAGGAGCCGCUUCCCACAACAAUCAAGAUCUAUCUCACAGUCACUUUCUCCACAUGAUGAGAGGGUUUUCAAGUCGAACCAGAGGUCCCCAAGUUCAAGGGAGAAUGGUCAAAGUCUGCACCAUGAAAGGGACUAUGUACCCAGCAGGUCAAGGAGUCCAAGGGGUAUUAGUCGCAGUCCUUCAAGGUCUCGUUCACGAUCGUUUAGGUAGGCAUGACUGCACAUUGUUAACAGAUUGAUGUCCGGAACCUAGAAGCUCUUUGAUAAAAGUAAAAUUUAGUUGAAAUCUAGGUCUAUAUUUUUAUCCAAGAAUUUAAGAGUCCGCAGUGGCUUCAAAUCCUUCAUUUUUUUGGAUUUUGCUCGUACACUGCCAAUAUUUGUUAGUUUAGGUUUUUGUGCAAGCUAUAUUAUUAUAUUUUGUAGCUUGGAAAAUUCAUAUCUGGCUUGUGCAUGCUUACUGAUCCAGCAUAAGGACCAUCAGUAUGGACUCUCUAUCUGCAUUUAUCUGUCUUCAUCAUAUAUUUAUACAUCGUUUUAAGAGAUCGUUGUUCUUCGUGCAGCCCGCAUUGAUUGCUGUUUGCUGAUCGAUGGUGCUUGUUAGCGUUGCUCCUGUUAGGUAGUGUACUUCUAGUACUAGUAUAUCCAGAUGAAGGUUGUAUCUAGAAAUCUACCAAGUUGUCUAAUGGUGGAUAUAGUUUCUUCUGUGCUUUUUGCUGGAAAAGGUAACUUCUGAUGGACGUCAAACUCAACUGUUUCUUUGACUAUUUUGUUAUAUGUUUUAGUUGAUUGCCUAUUGCCAAACUUGCUAUUAGUGUUUUAUUUUGGCCAAAUUACCUUUUAAGAUGAUUAGUUAAAGGAUUUCUUUUUAAAGGACAACAUAAAAGGAAGUGAAGGGGUUAUAUAUAUACAUGUAUGUAUAUGUAUUUUAAAUAAAUAAUAAUAAGUAAUUCAUUAAACAAUAAUUAAGUAAUAUUUUUAACUAAGAAUCAAUAUUGACGGAAGAAAGUGAACAUUUGUAUAGAAACUGUACAGCUUAGCAAAAAGUUAAUAAGCCCAAACAAACAGGUGUAGUAAAUUGUUACAUAGAUUAUAUUACUAUGAGCAUAAUCUUUUGGUUCACAAUCUACAUAUGCAUGUAAACUUAUAGCAACGAAUUAUAGUUUAUUAUAUUAUAUUUAUAAGUAAUAUAGGUAGUUAUUAUAUGUCAUAAUAUUAUCUUUAGAUAUUUGUUCAAUAUAUUAAUUAUUUAAUGAGAAAUUAGGGAACAAAAUAAUAACAUACCUUUUAUGAUAUGUUUUAUUAUAUAAUUUUAUUAAAUAAAAAUAACUUUUUUAUAAUCUAUUUCUUAUAUAUAGAAAUAAUACUCUAGUUGCCAUAUAUCAGAAUUUUUAAAUAGAUUUUUAAUUAUAUAAACUAUAUAAAUUUAGAACUGUAUCUAAAUCCAAUUCAAAUAUAAUUUUCAAAACAUAUGAAAAUUAUUUUUAAAGGUGGUAUGUAAUUCAAAGCUAUAUAAUCUAAAUAAGAACUUUCUUUUUCAUGUGUCAGUAUUAUUUUUUAAAUAAGAAUUAAAUCUUAUCAAAAAGUCUUUAAAUAUGAAAAUUAUUUAAAUAUUAUCAAAAAGUGUGCUUGACUUUUUUAACAAAAAAAAGUCUAUCUCGUUUUCAAAGUAAUUCUUUUCAAUGUAUAAAUUAUGUUCUAAAAACUAUUUGAAUCCAAAUUCAAAUGCAGUUUAUAAGAUAGUUUUGUAUGAUUAGAAUUUAUGCUAUCAAAUUAAAAUUCUAUUGAAAUUAAAAUUUAAAAAAAAAUUGAACUAAUUUUUAUUAAAACUUUUAUUGAAGGAUAUCUUUUUAUGCAUAAUAAAUAAUACAAACUUAGUUAUAUAUAAUAUAACAUAAAUAAAUUUUUAGGCGACGGCUAAAACUUCAUAGUGAACUAUUUUUUCUUUUUGCCCCUUGCCAUAGACUACCGUGUAGUAAUUAGAUGAAAUUCAAUUUGAACAUUCGAUUAAAUUUAUACUUUAUCACAUUUAAAUUUUUUUUAAAGUUUUUGAAUGUGAUGCACAUAAAUAUUUAAAAUUAGUAUUUUUUAUUAUCACAAGGUUUAAUGAAUACAAUGCAGUUCUAAUAGAGAUGGUAGUUUAUAUAACCUAAACCUCGUUAAGACACAAAUAUUUAGGAAACUACAUAUGGUAUGAAAAAACUUUAUUAAAUAUGAUACAUAAGGAGUUCUUUAGAAAAUCACUGCGUACAGCUUUUUGGCUAGUUAACUGACGAAAUCAUUUUGUCUUUAAGUUACAUAUUUCUUUAUAACACUCUGAACAUUCCAUUAUGCUAAAUGAAAUAUAUAUAUAUAUAUAUAUUAUAAUUGUUAUUCAUUGUCAAUGAAAUAGGCUGUCAAUCAAAGUUGUCUUCAUUUGUAUGACACAAAAUUCUAAAUAUCAUAUAUAUAAAAAUUCUAUUAAAAUACUUGAUAGUGUUUUGCUUGAUGAUUAUGAGUUUGGAUAUUAAGAAUAAAAGCAACAUCUUUAAUAUAAACAUAGUAGUUUAAUAGUUAAAAUCUUAAUGUAUUACUUAAAAAAGUACAAAUUUAAAUUUUAAUAAUAAAUUAUUUUAUAUAUAUAUAUAUUAUAAUUUAAUAAUAAUCGACUCAUAAUAUUUAAUUCAGUAAAUAAAAUGUAAUUUUAUUUCAAUAAGCUAUUAUGACUCAAUAAAAAUUCCUUUUGGUUCAAACAGUGGUUGCUUUAAUUUGGUCAAACUUGAGUUUCAAAAAGAGUUAACAUGACUGGAUGAACUUCCAAUAGUUUCCUCUUUUAAUUAAAAUACAAACCACCCUGAUCACUGAAAGGGGGAAAAAAAAAAAGACUAUAUAAUAGCUAGACAUUCUCAGGAGGCACCAUUCUCCUCCGAGCUAUGUCAGAUUUCAGAUUUUUGAACAAAUAUGACCUUGUGUUAAUAUACAUAACAUGCAUUCUCAUGGUUCAGGUGUUUAGGCAACUAAUAGCGAAUAGAUCAUGGAGCAAGAGAAAAAUGCAUCUUCGACAUAGAUAUCAGAAGGACGAGCUGGACAAAUGAAUGACAUCCAGCCAUCAAGAAUACUACUUAAAAUGAGGACAAGUGAUAUCAGUUUUUCUCCUGGAUCAAUGACACAAAAAACUGAGACAAGCAGAUUUGGAAAAGCAAGAUUUAGGCGACAAAAGUAUCCCCUCAUUGCAAACGGGCAUUGCUUAUUAUGAGAAUGGCAUCACAGAUGUUGUUAGACACUCACUCCAAAGGACAUGCUUUCUCGAAUGCUUGCUGCUCUUUGCGACAUAAAUCAAAUUCAUUCGUAUGGUAAUACAUGCAACCAACAUAGGCAUCCAUCUCUUUCGUGCACCUCUGGUGAAGAUCCUUCAGUCUGCAGGUCAAAAAUUUCGUCGUUAGAAGCAAACAAAUAUGAUGCUAGCAUAGUGAGAAAUUCAUAUUUGGAGAUAGCAUUACUGUUGGCAUUCUCUAUUGGGACAGGUCCGAUAUAAAUGCCUUUCGUUAUUCUUAUGAGUUUUUUCUCAAAUGAUUUUUUUUUUUCUGAUGAUGAUUCAAUGCAGAUGAUUUUAAGUUGGAUAUUCAGCAGCGAUGGUACUACAGCAAUUUCUGGCUAUUUCACCUAUAAGCUCUGGCGGCCUUAAGAAAAUAUUGGAAGAAAAGCAUGCAUGUUCAAACUCAGAAAUAUAAUUAGCUUUCAUACAGAUUGUAGAAUGUGCGUCAGAAAUAUUAAUCAUGUUAAAAGCGAGAGAGAAUAGGUGAUUGGCACUGGUAAGUCCUGUUUUUGAAAAAGAACAAGGGAACAGUAAAAAAAUUGAACAUAUAACCCCAGACAUGGAGAAAUUUCUUCCAAAAUAAAUAAAUUUCUAAUUAGGUGCUAGAUAGCCUAAUUGGUAGAGCUACUUGUAGAUAUUGGUUACUAGUGUGUCAUCCUGGAUAUGAUCAUAGGAGGAGUUUGCUGCGAAAUGUUCAGUUGAAGCAAAAACAAUCAACUGAAGUGCCAACAUGUUAAAUUAACUUCACCAAAGCGCUAGAAUCUGACAACCCUCCUAGGCGAUCCUAUGCAAAGAAACAUGUGGUUACCAAUCAGAUAAAACCCAAUGUUAAUCUUGUGGUCGCUGAACCCAGAUUCUCCUGCAUCAAGGUACCGGCCAUGGAGCAUUUAUUCUAGACUAUAAUUACUAAGAUCACCCAGACGGCCAGCGACAUAUGUACCAAAGUUUUCGAACUUCAUUUGUGGUAUGAGUUCACUGGGUUAAUUUUGGUUCUUGAUCUUGAUAUCUAAAAUUAGCGACAAAGAAGAAUGGCCAAGUUGGUAGAGUAGGAUUCUAAAGAUAGUGUACAGAAAGAGAGAAACAAAAGGUUGUAUUUUAACAAGCUUCUUUUCAAAUUGAGAUUAAUAAUUGGUGAAAUGGAAGAGGUAAAUGUCCAAGUGAAGAGCAAAUUCAUCAAACAACGUUCUCUUUCUAGGAACUAAAAAUUUAUAACUUAUAUUUGUUCGAAACCUAUAAUACAUUAACUCAAUUCUUUAGGAAUUUACAACAUGAAUAUUGUAAUUCUCUACAUAGCUAUAAAGAGGAUUUAAAUCUUAGAUCUCUCCUUGUAGAAAAAGAAAAAGAACCAAACAGAGCAUAAUGUAUCACUAAACUAUUAUUUAUUAUCCAAAUAAUAAAUUUAAAAGUGCUUCAGUGGAACUUCAGAUCAAAAUAACACUUUGACUAAGGUUGGCCCCCUUUAAACCUUGAUUUAGCGUCUAAUUAUGUACAUGUAGCCCGUAUCACGAUCUGGAUAUAGCAUCAUAGGUAUGCUCUACACCAUGCCCUGAUGGUGUGGCUAGUGGGUAUUUAAAUCAAAUCUAGCACACAUUAGUGACUUGGAAGAUUAAGGUGAAAAAGAUCUGGCUAUCAUUGUCAAGCAAAUCCACCAAACAAGCCCAUAUAUACAAAUAGUACUAAAUAUAUAUACUACUUCUAUCAUAUAGGACCACCAUAGUCCAGAAUUUAGCCAAAGCCCAAAGGAGAAGAUGAUGGGUAAAAGUGCAAUAAGGAGAGAAAAAAGUGUGAAUUACUAAGCCCUUGCUAAAAAUAGAAAAGAAAUUACCAUCUAGUUUGAGCAUAUGUGGCAUUUUAUUGCUUUGGCUACUUCACAAACAAGAAGCAAAAAAUUUUUAAAGUUUCAAGCAAUUAAGUUACAGGAGAAUACACUGUAGAGCCUGUCACAACAAAUUUUGGGCACAGUGAGCUUUGGUUGACAGUGCAACUACCACCACAGAAGAUCUUAAACAUUGCGGUUGUGAAAUUUCUGCCAUAUAUCAAAAGGAGGGUUACAAAAGCUAACAUCCAACAUUUAUAACCAAGAUGAUAGGAACAGGUUGAGCUAUUGAUGAGUAUGAAUAACAGUUGGAUGUGUCUUUGUGAACAAAACGAGGAUCAAAGCAUGGUAAUGUGGUUUUUGGUAGUAGCCUCCACAUGAAACCUAGUGAAAAGGCAGCUAACUAGAUUCUAACUAAGAAAGACUGGUUCAAUCCAAAAGAAAAAGGCAGCUGACUAGUUUCUAACUAAGAAAGCUGAUAAAUCAAAGAAUAAAAAAGCUAGAACCGAAAAUUGAUAAUUGGGACCUAUUUGAUAUCUCGAUCUGCAUGUCCUUUCAUUGAGCUACCAAAGUGAAUGAACAUUGGUUGGCUAGUCCUCCUGAACAAAAUCAGGAUCAACCCCCAGUACUGUGGUUUUUGGUGAAAUAGAGAUAAGCAAAAAGAGCAUUUGAUUGUUGUAAUCAAAAGAAAAAGCUGAAAAUUUUGUUUAGCCUUGCUUAGGUAAUUACUGAGGUAUUGAAUUUCUUCAUUAUCACCAUCCUCAAUCCUCAGAAUUACUGCUGAAGAGAAGACUAGAAAUGUAAACUGGAAAAUUUGUCAUCUAAUUUAAACUGCCAUGGCCAUGUCCUAAACUCGGUCAACGAAAAUGGUGAUAAGAAGAAACAAUACACAAUGGUAUAUCUACUUCAACUAAUAAAACUAGAAUUCCUCUUCACUGGCAAAGUCGAAAAAACAAAACACUAUUAUACCAGUUCUAGAUUCCCAGCGCAUUUCAUUAUGGACCUAUUCCAUCAAUCAUAUAAAGAGAAUUAAAACAAAAAUGAUUCUGGUUCUUCUUUACCCUCAAAUAACCAAAAUCCAAAUCCCAGUUUCCUUCAUACCCUAAUCAAUUCCAGCCUAGAAAGAAAUUUUAUGCAGUACAUAUAUAAAAAAAUGCAGAUUCAGUAUAAAUGAAUGUGUGUACUCGGCUCAAGAAAACAAUAAAUCACAAACUUCAAGCAAGAUUAACUACAAAGAAAUGGGCAUGAUGGAGACCCUUACAGGCCGAACACGCAGCGAGUGACUUCACGGCCUUGUUCGAGGCAUUUCUCUGGAUUCGGGUCCUUCUUUUUGCACUUCAGGAACGCGACAUUCUCCGGCAUGCAUCGUAUCCCUAUGUGCUUCGAAGACGCCGUCAGCACCGCCGAAGUCGGGAUCGGAUUUCCCGCUGCAUCCACCGCGCUCGCCAUUUCCUGAUUUUUAAAUGAAAUUAUAUGCCUAAACAAAUAACACAAAUGAUCAAACGAUUAGCCACAUUCCGAAUAAAAUGUUUGCAUCUUUUCUUUUUACCUGUAUUGACUUUUCCCAGUAUCAAGACAAGUAACCAGUGGUUUACCGAAACAAAAAUGAAAUUACAAGUCUAAUUAAUUUACCUUCUGGCUAGAUAGAUUGAUCUUCUCUACUGAGAAGAGCAGAAGGGGCACAAGCAGGAGACUGAAUUGGAGACACAGGAGAAAUCCGAGAAGAGGAAAUGUUAAUUUGCGCCGAGAGGAGAGCCAAGGGUUUUUUAGUCAUAUAAUUUCAAGAACGAGGGUAUUUGUGGUAUUUGACUUUCAACUAGGGGUUUUAGAAUUUAGAUUACCUUCUCUUCAAAAUCCUUCUGUUUCUCUUCUCUUCCGCUUCUUCACAGAAUCUCGGCAUCGACCCGGACAAAAUUACAGUACGUUGGAAAACCGUUUCUUUCUUUUUUUCUUCUGACCUGUUUUUUUGCUUAAAAAGGAACAUUUUCUGCCAGUCCAAACAAAAAUCUGUAGUUUAUCUAUCAGAAUUUUGAGGGUACAACUGCAUAGAACCAGUUUACUAUAGUUCAAAUGCGUUUUCUGUUUACGUAUCUCUCUGUGUCUCUGUAUGUCUCUUAAUCCUGGUUUGCUACGCAUCUUGUAUUUUGGGGUUGAUAAUUGUGAGGGAAGUGCUAUCUCUUCAUUCAGUGUCAUGCUUGAAGUGAAUCCUGUUGCUACAGGAGGCUUUAUUGUAUAUAAGACCAUGGAUGAUGUAUGGAAGAUCUUGUCUGGUUUGGUAGAGAACAGAAAUUAGAAGUAAAUGUAGUUGUCUGCUUAUUUUUCAUUGCUGACAAAAAUGAUGAGAUUUCUACUUUUGCUUUAAAAUUUAGCUUGUACUCUGUGGAAUAUUUCAUUUUCCAUGUUUAAAAGCAUAUUAUUUGCCUAAGAUGGAUUUAAGAGUUAAAAAUGUUUCGCUGCAUGUUUUUUUGGUCAAUUUAUAAGCUCUCUAAUGGCAUUUUUAAUAUUCUUGACAUGUUUGGUAAAUACUAUUGAGCUUAUAAACUAGGCAGAAUGUUAGCUCUUGUUACAAAGUUUUUUAGAAAGCUGGUAAGGAAGGCUUUUGCUUCGGAGAAUAUUGCAGUCUUAGGUCCCAAUAUUUUAAACAUAAUUGGGUUAUAUUUGUUUGUCAUUUUAGUAGAGUUUCAUAAAAUUUUAUUGUCCAACAAUUUGGUAAGUUAUCCUUUGAAAAGAUUUAACAGUUUAUACGCUAUUGAGGCACUUCUAAUAUCUUAUAUUUUAUGCUGCACCAAACACCUUAAACGGCAUAUCCUAAUAGAUGGUUGUGCAUCCAUAAAGAUAUGAGAGUUCUUUUCGCUCUCUUUAGGGGGUUUGGAGGAAGACAAAGAACACUUGGACUUUCUUUAGGGGCUAAAUUCAAUGGUCAAGUAUUUAAGAUGGAGAGAAGACUCUUCUGUUGGAAGAAUCUCCCUAAAAGCAAUAGGUUCAUUCUCGCCAGAAGUACGCUAUCUGACUUGCUUAUUUAUUCCCUUUCUCUUUUCCUCAUCCCCACUAGCAUUGUUAAGAGGCUAGAAUCACUGCAUUAUUGCUUCCUUCUGAGGAGGUGUUACUAUCUUGUGGCUUGGGAUGUGUUGAAGAGACCUUUUGCCUUGGGGGGCCUUGGCAUAAGAUAUAUUAUGGUUGUGAUGAAAGCUUUAUUGACUAAAUGGCUUUUAAAGUUAAUGUAUUGCGGAACAGUUUGUGGAGAGGUGUGAUUAUUAGCAAAUAUGGAUUGGAAAAUAGGGGCUGGAGGAUGACUCAGAGUAUACAAAGUUUGGUACUAUUAAAUGGAAGUGCAUUAGUAAGCUUUUGCUGACUCAGGCUUUGGAAAUUGUUUUGCUGACCUGAUGCUCUUUAGGCUUUAGCAAUGGCUAAAUGACUGAAUGUUGAGUUUCUGGGUUGAUUGUUGGUGUAGAAAGAGACCUCUCAAAGAAAGGUUCUCAAACAUUUUUGCUCUUGCAAAGGACAAGGAUGUUCAGUCAAGGAAAAUGGAAAGAGAAGGAGAGAGAGAAAGAAAAAUAAAUGAAAAUGAAAAGAUUUUUUUUAAAGAAUGAGAAUAAACAAAGGCCCAAUACCUAUUUUUAAUCAUAUUUGACCCAUUUAGUCUAUUUUUAAUUGUAACCCAAGUUUAAAAUCAAGCUCAAAUUCUAUUCUAUCUCAAAGUUAAAUUCAGCCCCAUUAAGGAAAAACCCUAAAAUCUAAAAGCUCAACCCUUUGUUCGAGCCUUUCCAACCCACCAUUUAAUCUGGGAAGCCCAAAACCUAUUCAGAAGAAAACUCAGCCCUAUUUCCAUUUUUAAAUACGAGGCACGAAACACCAAGGUCAACCCGUCCCAACAGGAAAUUACAUGUAACCUCGGCCCAGAAGAAAAAUGAGAGGUAGUCUUACGCCUAAGGCUGCAUCGUCUUUUGGUUUGUUUAAGACGACAUUGUUUCGGCUGAGUAUAAAAGGAGGCAAUUGGGCUUUUGGUCGUUGGUGGUGGCUUCUCUCUACUUUCAGAGGGUUCGAAGCGUGAGGCACGUUGCUGAAGAAAUAAUUUCCAGAAGUGUGAGCUAGCUUAACCUUUUGAGGAGAGAGGAAGAACCUGGUGCGGAGAUUUUUUGGGUUUGAGAGGGACAAAAAUUGAUGAAAUAAUGUGAAGGUUUUUUGGUUUGAAAUUUAAAAGUAGAGACAGGUAAUUGUUGGGGGGGGGGGGGGGGGUAAGAAUAGAGAAACAGUGAUAAUUUGGGUAUGUGCAACAGUGGGUAAGUUGGAGAAGAAGUGAAGGAAGAGUUCGGGGCUAAGGUUGCCAAUUUUAGGUAUUCUUUUAGUUUGUUGAAUUUUAUUUGCUUUAUAACCUGGUUUUGUUGCUUUGAUUUAAAGAUGCUUUGAAUUUUAGAGGAAAAGAUGUAAUUUAUUUAAUAGAAAUGAGAUUUCUAUGUUCAAAAUGCAUGUCCAGCCAUGAUAAAUUCUUCAUUGCUUCCUUAAAUUACUAGCAGUUGCUGUAGUUUAGUAUAAUAAUUAGAGCUCUAUUCUGAUUUUUCCUUUCUGAACAUCAAUUAUAAUAUAGCAUAUUAUUGUUUGUGAUUUGAUUGUUUUAAGUUUGGGUUUGCUGUUGAUGAAUAAACAUGGUGCUUUGAAAUGGGUAUUUUCUUUGCUGUUUAGACUGAGUAGUUUUCGAUUUAAUAACUCUAAUUGCUAUUGAUGAACAAAUUUGGUUCUUCUGAAAUUGGAUGAUUUAUUUAGUGCUUGAGCUGACCUGAGUUCAGUCGUGUUUAACAUGAUUUCUGAAUAUGCUGGUUUAUAUUAGGAAAUAUGGAUAUAUUAGUAAUACCCUUGCUUGAGGGAUCCUUUUGUUUGUUUCUGCUCUAAGUCGAACUCGAGAUCGAAUUCAAAAUCGAAGGAUAUGGUCAACAAAAAUAAAAAUCAAACUAAAAAGAAAACGAUUUUUUUGUUCGGGUUUAGUCUUUAAAAAAUGUAUUGGAUCAUCAUUGCAUUUUGUUUCAUUAUUAAUCAAGAAACAGUAAAGACUUUGGAAGGAAGGUUUGCGUCUGACAAGAUUUUCGAAAAUUUUUCUUUUCUACUUGUUUAGCUUUCUAUUUGUAUUUUUUUUCUUUGGAUUUAAUUUAAGUCCCCACCUCCAAUGGUUUGUAAAUAUGUUAAUUGGUAAAUUUGAUUAUGAAUGAAUGAAAAUUUCACACAUCUUUACCUUAAAUAGUGUUUAUAAAAUGUGCAUGUAAAUUAAAUGAAUAAUUAGUUUGCAUCGCAUGGCAUGUGUCUCGCACUUCUUAUUCUGCAUUAUUUCUGAAUCAAGAAUCUCUAAUUUAGAUUAGUGCAUAUUAUCUGGCAUCCUAUCCAUUUCCAGUAGAACUGGUGGCAAUUUCAAAAAUUUUUUGAGUUUAAAAAUAUCCCAUCACCUCGUUGUGACAAUCUCUUUCAAUGUUUUGAGGCUAGAAGGAUAUGGGACUUAAUGUUAUCCCUUCUUAAUUUGUCUUGGGUGGUUUAUGGCUCAAUAAUGGAUAAAUUAUGGGGGGUGAGAUGAUAUUGACGGGCAUGCAAAUCCAAAAAGAAGCUCAUAUCCUUCAUCUGCUGUCGAUUAUCUGGAAAGAAAGAAUCAAGAGCGUUUACCAAAGCUUUUUGUGCCUUUUGUUUCUAUUAUAGAUAAAUGGUUCUAGACUUUUAAGUGUUUUGUUUAAUGUUCAUCCUCUUAGCUCUGAAGAUGAUCUAAGGAACUUAAUGGAUAUUUUGUUUUCUUGUGGUACCAUGUAAAGCCUAUCUUCUAUGUGGAUAGCACCACCUUGGUGUCUUGUUUAUAAUAGUUGUUUCUUGUUUCUCUCUCAAAAAAAAAAAGGAACACGUGAACUUUCUUUAUUGUUGGAGCAAAUUUAUUAUUUUUUUAUUAUCAUGGAAUGCAAUUUGCUUAUGCUCUGAAUCAUCCGCUUUUCCUUGAACAUGUAGUAAGAAAUGGGUGACAAAAAGAAGAAGACGUUUAUGUUCAUCCGACUUGUCUCGGCUGCUGGGACCGGAUUCUUCUAUGUGAAGAAGAAGAGUGCUAAGAAAGUUAUGGAGAAGCUGGAGUUUAGAAAGUAUGAUCCUCGUGUAAAUCGUCAUGUUCUGUUCACGGAAGCAAAAAUGAAAUGAGUUAACAAGACAAUGUACUAUUUCUGUUUCUAGUAGAUGAUCUAAGAAUCAAUCAGGACUAAAUAAAUAGAAUCAUGUGUUUGCUUAUGAAUCAUCAUUUCAUCUCUAUUCCAACUAUAGUUUUAAUUCUCACGGGUUAUGGCAAUGCAUAGUCAUUUCGACCUGGUAGGCGGAAAUUUUGAGAACUGAUGUGUUAAGCUGUGGGUUUGUAAAAUCACUGGAUCUUGAUGUUUGAGUAGUGAAUUUUGUGUUAAAUUCAUUACAAGGCUGCUAGUGCAGAAAAGCUAAUAGCGUUUGUUUUAGGCGUUUCCAUUUGGGGGGGGUGGGGGGGGGGGAUACAAAUUACCAACUGUUUGUUUGUUCGUGUGUUUUUUUUUAGUAAUUUUAUCAAGGGCGAAAAUUGAUUUGGAUCUCUUUUUUUUUUCUUUCUUUUUUCAAAUUAGUGAUUAUUAUUAUUAUAUGCAUUAUAAUAUAUAAUGUACACAGAGUACGUAUAAUUUCAAAAAAUAUAUACACACACACACAGUUCACAUAAACCUUAGCAAGUUUUAUGCUAUCCUUUUUCCUUCACAUUGCACUACUUUUAUUUCUUGAAUUUGUGCAGUCACAUUUCUAUCCAAAAGCAAAGAGUUUUAACUUAAUUAAUAAUUUUCAAUAUGUAAAUCAACAUUAAUAUUAAGAAGUACAAAUACAAUAUUUCUAAUAAUAAUUAUUCAUCUCGAACUUACAUUAAUUUGCUAGCGAGAGUUGUUAAUAAUUUAAAGUAGUUUUUUUUUUAACAAUAUCGUGAUCUUGUAAUAUAAAAUUAAAUUUGAGUCUCAGUAUGAUUUAGUUAUUAACUUAUUAUUCGAAUUUAAUUUUUUAAAUAUUAAGUUAUCUAAUUAUAUUCGAUUUAUUUUUGAAGACGUCUCACAAUGAAGAACAAAAUAAAGGUGGAUUUAUUCUUGAAGUUGAACUAAGAAGUAAGAGACUAAAGGACCAGUGCUCACUCAAGAUGGCAGUCAAGUUUCAAAGUCAUAGUGAGAUGACCACCAAUACCAAAGCUUUUGUUUGAGAAUAUUUUUCUCCUUACGAGGAAAAUGAUGAUAGGAAAGAUGAACUUAUGUUAAUGCUUUUUUUGUGUUAAUAAUAAAAGAAAUGAAAUUGCAUCAUUAAGCAUUAUAUCAAAUCUUGCAGAAAACAUUCUCUUCUUAGUGUUGAUAGUGUUGAACAAUAACGAUAUCCAUUUUUUGAGUGAGACGAAAGCAUAAGAACUCAAAAAUUUGAGUAGAAUACAGUUAGAAAAAGGUUAUUUGAAAUGUUUAUGUUAGAUGAAUUGCCUUUUGAAUUUGAUGAAGGAUAAGAUUUAGGUAAUUCAUAUCAAUUACUUAUCCCAUAUUUCAUAUUUCUUUUAGAUGGACAAUCUUUAAGGAUUGUUAUGAACUGUAUGUGAAUGUAAAAACGAAUUUCAAGUAGAUUUUGAGAUCUAAAAAUACGAGAGUAUUUUUUAUGGUAAAGACAUAGAAUCUUACACAAAGAGUCAAUUACAUAUGUAUCAUGACUCAUUUAUCAAUAAUGACUGAGAAUUGUGUAAAAGAAUAAUAAAUUUUUGUCUAAUUUCAAGCCAUAAAAGAGAGACUAUUUGUAAGAUAAUUGAGAAACAUGUACAUGAUCAGGAUAUUGAUAUGGUAUUCAAUGUGAUAAUUGAUAAUAUUAGUUGAAAUGAUAUUGCAAUUUCUUCCUUAAAGAAAAAAAAUUAGUAACAUGGGAACUAGUAUUUUGGAAGGUCGAUAUAUUUAUGUGAGAUGCAUUAUACAUAUCAUUAGUCUCAUUAUUGUUGAUGAUAUAAGGGAAAGAAGUGAGUUAGUUGCUCAUUCUAAAAGAGUUGUAAAAUGUAGUAGACAAUCACUAUUUAGAUAAUAAAAAUUAAAGAAUGUGUUGAAUUAAAAAUGAUACAACGUAAAAAGUUAUAUUUAAUGUAAAAAUCAAUGAAUGUUUCUUGACACUAUAUUAGAUAGAAAUCGACAUAUUUGAUAUUAGAGACUACCAAGAAGUUGAAUUGACAUUUAAAAGUUAUGAAAAACAUAUUUACAUCAUAGAAAAGUUUCAAUUAACUGAUAGGAUGCUUGAUUAUUUUGAUUAGAACUCCUUUAAGAGGUUAAUGGAUUAUAAAAUUUUUGUGAAAUUACAUUGAAAGUUUUGGAAUCACUUUGUGUUACUUCUAUCACUCUUUUCAAAAAGAUUUGAAAAGUUACUUGCAUGUUACAAGAAUGACAAUUAAGUGAUGAUCUUGACUUGACUUCAAUGACAAAACAAAAAAGAAAGGAAAAAUAUGGCAAGUAUAAGAGGAACGUUGAGAAAAUAGCCAUGUUAGACACUUGACCCAUAACAUAAGUUGUAAUACUUGGACUUUUGUUUUAAAAGAAUAUACAUGGAUGAAUAAUUUGUUGCAAUGUCAAAGAUGGUGGUGAAACUUGCUUAUGAGUUACACUAUGAGUACAACUGCCAUAAAUUAAGCAAGUAGAUGAUAACAAUCAAAUAAUUUAAAGUAGUUAAAGUCACGUUUCUCAAUCACAAUAAGAAAAUUUUUUUCGAGUUAAAAAAAGGUUGAUGUGAGCACUAGUAGCAACAGAAGACAAUUAUGGAAAAUACAAUAAUCCCGCUUGAAGUAGGACUUUCGGGGGAAACAAGAAUCCUGUGGGAAUGCAACUCGCGGGCAUUUACCUCCACAGGAAGGAUAUACAAAGUGCACAAUGUGCAUGCAUGCAACAUGGGAGCCGUACGUGCACAAGUGCAAGGACGCCACACACACAUGUGCGUUGCAUGCCCGAAAAAAAGAAAAUUCUCGCAAGGACUCCCAUAGGUCUCGCCCCAAAUAGGCAAGUUAUUUCAUAUUCUUUGUGUUAUCUAAAUUGAAUCUUUUUAAAGAAGAAAGUAUCUGUACCCUUAAUCAUUUUCCUAAUUGAGAUUAUUUUAAAGAAUAGGAAAAGUUUGUUCAAAGAAGGCUUGAGGCCUAAAUGACGUUUCAUGGGCUUAAGGAACCACAUGUCAAGGUGCAAGGCCGAGCCUUAUCCCAAAACGAGGAAGACUGGGAUUUAUUUAACCAUGAAGGCCCGCGACAAAAGUAUAUUAUGAUGUGAGGCCCUUAGCUCAUAUGUGCGAGCUUGAAGAAUGAUAAAUGAGAAAGAAUGCCAUAUUUAGCCUAAACUGAUAAGAGGAACAAGGCCUCUCGACAAAAGAGGGCCAUGACCCAAGGAGGCCGCACCAAAAGGGAGCGAGCCAGACCAUGCCACAACCUUGGAGAGCUUUUACUUGCACGCAAGAAGGCGUGCUUAUGCAAGAAAGUCAUCCUGCACUCGCAACCAACCCACACAUGUCGGGAGAACUUGCCUGUACGGGAGAAACAUGCAAACAAGGAAUUUGAUGCCAAAAAGGAUUUUCUUUGUUUUUAUUUCCACAUGUAAAUUUUAUGGUUGAUUUCUCAAGAAGAAUUCUGCAACAACUUGAAGUCCAAAAGAAGAAAAACACAUGAGAAAUAUGGUAAAAAUGAGGAGUCUUAUUUAAAUAAUAUUAUAUUAAUUUUUAAUUAAUAUUUUAUUGCUUAAUUUAUCCUUAAAAAUUAAUUAUUAUUUUCAGAUUAAGAUUAAGUUAAACUAGAUUUUGGUAAAGUUUCAAUUAAAUAUAAGUGACUGUAAUUAUUUAGAAGUAUCCUAGUAAAAGCCUAUAUAAAGGCCUCACAUUAGGUUGUGAUAUACAAUUCUGUUGAUUGAUAAAAUUAUUCAGUUUUGUUGUUACAUUAGUUUUGCUAAUUUCGAGAGUGAGUGUUCUUCAAGGGAAGUUGUUUUGAUUAUCUUAUUGACUGAGAUAGGGAAUCAAAAUCAACUUAUUGAGUAAGUCAUGACAUUUUUUUUAUUCUUUUUUAUUUUUUCAGUUAUCUUGAAUUGCCUUUAAAUUGCUGAUUGUGAUUCAAGUAGGGACGUCUUAAUUUAGGAAAUUAAGUUUUUGCAUGGUAAGUAUAGUGAGUUCAUGAUCAAUGUGUUUUUGAUCUUAGAGCUCCUCGCAUCAAAGAUUGUAGCCUAUGAAAUUAAAUAUAAAAAGUUCAUGACUAAAAGUUGGAGGUAGAGGUAGAAAAUUAAAGUAUGAAAAGUACUUAAAUGAAGAAUUGAUAAGGAUGAUAAAGAGGAUUAUGGUAUCUUUGAUUGAUGGAAACUUAACAAUUAUAUACUUCUUAUCCUAUCUCAGUUGACUAAUGGUGUAUUGACAAUACUUGUGUCUACAGUUUCUUAUGAAUUUGUAUUUAGCAUGGAUGAACAUAUUUGGCACAUACAAGAUUUUAUUUACUCCUAAGAUUGUAAAAACUCUUGUUUAUGUACAAGAUUAGUUUAGAAAAGUUCAAUCUUCAGAAGGUUUUCAAAAAAUGACAUAAGUUAAUAAGAGGGAAUGAAUAAGAUCUUAGAUAACUAUUUUUUUAUUGGUAUUUCAAAUAUUAGCUUUUUAUUCUUAGAAUUAAAUUUAUAUACAUUUUACUUUCCUACCUUCAAAACAGCAGAGAUUACAUUUGAUUUUAUUAUGAGAUUUUCUAGUAAUAUUUUAUGUUUUAAUUAUGUAAUAAAUUUGUAUUUUAUUUAUUGCAUGAGCUAUUCAAUUUCUAAUUUAUGAGGUUCUAUAUUUAACCGUAUGACUUAUUUAUUAUUUCAAAUACAGAUAAUGAUGGUUGAUUAGUGAAUCAAUUGAUAACGGUUGUGUUGCUUUUAGGUAUAAUUUUAAUUUGAAAAUUUUGAAAUGUGGAUUAUGUGUGGAAGUUGGAACUUCAAAGUUUAGAACUUUGAUAUUUGAUCACACAUGUAUGAUGUAUAAUACAUUUAAUUAGAACUUAUUUUAUAUGUAUGGUAUAAAUUAUGUAAAUGUUAUAUAUGAAUUUGGAUGAGUUUGAAUGAUUGGAUUAUGAAAUGUAUGAAUUUUGGUACAAAUUGAAUAAUGGAUUAUGGUUGAAAUGUAUGGUAUGAAAUUUAUGGAUUUUGAUUUAGAUUUCGAUUUUAGAACAAAUGAAUUUGAAUGAAUGGUUGGAAUGCUAUACAUUAAUAUUGGAUUUAGAUUUAAAUUUGAAAUGGGAUCUUGUGGAUUUUAUUUUUUAAUUAUAUUAUUUUGUGUUUGAUAUAAUUAAUAUAUGUUCACAAAUUAUAGAAAAGAAUGUUUUGAAUUUUCUAGCAUUUCUUUGGUUUUCAAUAAGUAAUUGAUUAUCGAACUUAUUUAUUAUAUUCAGUUUUAAUUUUAUUCGUCAAAUUGAUAAAUCGGUUCAAUUAUACCGAUUUAAUCAGUUUUUACGUUUAACUAAACUAACUAAAUAUUUUUUUAACAAAAAGGUUUUGAACCAUAAGAUAAGAUAAUAAUCCUGUGCCUUAUCUUACACCAAUGAAAUUCUGUAUAUCAACAAAUCCUAUCAGAGAGCAUUAAAUAAAUCAGUAACUUAAUACCACUUGUAAAAUAGAAUGCUUGAUUGGUUAGAUAAUUGUAUCAACAUGAUACCUCUUUAAAAACAAUGAUCUUAUCAAAUCAUUGAGAUAAUGUUAAAGUCACUAACAUCUUGAAGGAGUAGUAUUCAUUAGUAGGAAUCUCUCCUCAUCCGCAACAUGUUUCCUUGUUUAACGCGUUAGAUGAAUCUUGCCAAGAAGAUAAUCUCUCAUCUUGCCACGUGACCUAUAAUUAACCUUUUAAAAAAUUCUUAUGCGAUUCUAGGAUUCCUUUUGAUAAUUUUAGGAUUCCUUAUUUUUUUUUUCUUUUCUAUAAGUUUUCUAUGAUUGAGUUAUUUUUCUUUGUUUUGACAAUUAAUUUGACUAGUAAAAAAUUUACACAUAAAAAAUUUUGAUAUUCUACUAAUUCUAUUAUUUGUUUCCUAAAGGUCUAACAUUUCUAUACUACAAAACUUAAAAAUAAAUUACACAAAUGAAGUUUACUUUUAUGCAAAAUUUGACUUUGACGAUGAAUAAAUUAUACCUUAAUAAAAUGAUUGUUACUUUCAUCUUUUAAUAAGAGACUGAUGGUUUCACUCGAACUAUACGUUUCCGAUUAUUCUUAUUAAAAGAUUGUAUUAUAUGAUAUUAAUAUGCUAUUUAAUUAAUGAAAUAUAUAAAUUUUAAUUAAAAAGACUUUCCCGAUAAAAAAAAAUUAUCUUAUAUAACUAGAAUACAUUAAUCAUAUUAUAUUUCUAUUGUUCACAUAAUACAAAUCAUCCUCUAUAAAUUGUUUUAACCACUUAUAUUUAUAAUAAGUUAUUAACAAAAAUGAAAUACUAUAAUACAAUGAAUUCAUAUUACAAAAUAAUAUCUUCCCAUUAAAAGUAAUAAUUUAAUUUUACCACAAUCAAAUCCUUUGUUUCUAUUUCCUGUCACCACAUAAAGAAAACAAUCCCACCAGCCAAAUUUUAAAAUUAGAAGAUUAUCUCCCUUUCAAAAUCAGUAAAAGACUCUAUCAUACCAAUCAAUUAGGAAAAUGGAAGGGCACAUCCAUGCCUUCGAGAUAUACAGGAAAAAUAACACACGGCUCCCAUAUUACCCUUUACCAUGUAUUUCUCCAUUACUUUUCCAUUUCAGGUUUUUAAAUACUUUAUAUGUAUAUACGUCAUAUCAAUAUCAAAUAUCUCUCUAUCUAUCCAUUUCUGUGAUUUCCAUUGACGUGGCCCAAUGAAGAGCGAUAUGCCAGUCUGCCACUUUCGUGUUCUGUAGUGUGAAGUCUAUAUAAUGAUUUCAAAUCAAUGAAUUCUGAGCUUCACUCUCAAAAAUACUAUAGGGUCCACCUUGGUUUUGAAUUUGCAGAGUGCUUGUGCGCUCACCACAUACCCUUUCUUCUUCUUCUUUUAAAUUUAUUUCUGUUUUAUUUAUUAUUCGUCUCUGUCUUUUCCACCAUCAUCUCUUCUAUUACUUCACUGUGGGAAAAAAAAAGGAGAAACCUUUCUGUUAAUCUUCUGCAUUAUUGCAAUCUAGACUCUCUAAAAUUUUCUGCGUUGUUCUUGUUUUGAGCGCUACUCGUUCUUCUUGGCCUUGUUUUUGUUGUUGUUGGUUUCUGCCAUGGCGCUCUGUGCUUUCUCAUUUCCUGCCUAUAUCAGCCGAGCAACAAUUUCUGAUCCUCAGGAGUCCACUUCUCUGUCUUCUCAUUUGUUGUCAGCUCCGGAUCUGCCAUGCGUGCCUCCGCUGAAGCACAAGCAGGUUAGCUUACGUGUAUAUCUUAUCGGUUUAAUAAAUGAAAACAGGCUCAUUACUCGAAAUAAA